CGGGAUGUGACAGUUUAGGCUGGGAGCAGAAAUAAUCAACAUGCCCAUUAGAUACAGGAUGGAAUAAUGCUUCUACUGGUUGGGUCCCUUCGAGGACAGAAGAGCUCCUUGGCACUGGAUGCCUCCGGGUCUGGUUGAGAGAGGAAUGGUUAGGAGACUGUUCUGAGGAUACGCAGACAUCAUCCAAAGCUUCCUACAUUCAGAUGAGGACAGAGGUUGGGCCAGAGCUUUGUAUGCUUGUUACCUAAGGAUGGUUCUGACCAUGUAAGCAGAUCACAGAAGAGCCAGCCUUGACAAUGUGCUGUUGGCAACCU
rnacentral:antisense_RNA from 1 species